rnacentral:rRNA from 1 species
AAUAGAUACCCAGGUAGUCCACGCCGUAAACGUUGGGCGCUAGAUGUGGGGACCAUUCCACGGUUUCCGCGUCGUAGCUAACGCAUUAAGCGCCCCGCCUGGGGAGUACGGCCGCAAGGCUAAAACUCAAAGGAAUUGACGGGGGCCCGCACAAGCGGCGGAGCAUGCGGAUUAAUUCGAUGCAACGCGAAGAACCUUACCAAGGCUUGACAUAUGCGAGAACGCUCUAGAAAUAGAGAACUCUUUGGACACUCGUAUACAGGUGGUGCAUGGUUGUCGUCAGCUCGUGUCGUGAGAUGUUGGGUUAAGUCCCGCAACGAGCGCAACCCUCGUCGCAUGUUGCCAGCACGUAAUGGUGGGAACUCAUGUGAGACUGCCGGGGUCAACUCGGAGGAAGGUGGGGAUGACGUCAAAUCAUCAUGCCCCUUAUGUCUUGGGCUUCACGCAUGCUACAAUGGCCGGUACAAAGGGCUGCGAAACCGCAAGGUGGAGCGAAUCCCAAAAAGCCGGUCUCAGUUCGGA